UAGAGGAAGUAAAAGUCGUAACAAGGUUUCCGUAGGUGAACCUGCGGAAGGAUCAUUAUUGAAUAAGCUUGGUUGGGUUGUCGCUGGCUCUUCGGAGCAUGUGCACGCCUAACACCAAUCUUCUUACCACCUGUGCACUUUUUGUAGAUCUGGAUAUCUCUCGAGGAAACUCGGUAUUGAGGGCUGCUGUGCGUUAAAGCCGGCUUUCCUUACAUUUCCGGUCUAUGUCUUUAUAUACACCAUUUGUAUGUCUACGAAUGUUAUUAUAGGACUUUGUCCAAAUAAACCUUAUACAACUUUCAACAACGGAUCUCUUGGCUCUCGCAUCGAUGAAGAACGCAGCGAAAUGCGAUAAGUAAUGUGAAUUGCAGAAUUCAGUGAAUCAUCGAAUCUUUGAACGCACCUUGCGCUCCUUGGUAUUCCGAGGAGCAUGCCUGUUUGAGUGUCUUGAAAUUCUCAACCUUUUUGGCUUUUUCUUAAAGUUGAUUAGGCUUGGAUGUGGGGGUUUGCGGGCUUUGUCUGAAGUCGGCUCUCCUUAAAUUCAUUAGUAGGGACCUUUGUUGCCUUAGCUUUUGGUGUGAUAAUUAUCUACGCCAUUAUGUGAAGCAGCUUUAAAUUGGAGGUUACUGCUCUCUAACCGUCUCUCAUGGGACAAUUUUCUGACAAUUUGACCUCAAAUCAGGUAGGACUACCCGCUGAACUUAAGCAUAUC
rnacentral:rRNA from 1 species